GAAAGCAUGGGGAGCGAACAUGAUUAGAUACCCUGGUAGUCCAUGCCGUAAAUGAUAAGUGUUCGCCCUUGUCCUAUGCGGAUCUGGGGCCUAGCUAACAGGUGAAACACUCCACUU
rnacentral:rRNA from 16 species